rnacentral:tRNA from 3 species
UCCCCUGUAGCUCAACUGGCAGAGCAUUCGGCUGUUAACCGAACGGUUGGAGGUUCGAGUCCUCCCGGGGGAGCAA